rnacentral:rRNA from 1 species
ACGGAAGGCAGCAGUGGGGAAUAUUGCACGAUGGGCGAAAGCCUGAUGCAGCGACGCCGCGUGAGUGAAGAAGUAUCUCGGUAUGUAAAGCUCUAUCAGCAGGGAAGAAAAUGACGGUACCUGACUAAGAAGCCCCGGCUAACUACGUGCCAGCAGCCGCGGUAAUACGUAGGGGGCAAGCGUUAUCCGGAUUUACUGGGUGUAAAGGGAGCGUAGACGGUUUGGCAAGUCUGAAGUGAAAUGCGGGGGCUCAACUCCUGAACUGCUUUGGAAACUGUCGAACUAGAGUGCAGGAGAGGUAAGUGGAAUUCCUAGUGUAGCGGUGAAAUGCGUAGAUAUUAGGAGGAACACCAGUGGCGAAGGCGGCUUACUGGACUGUAACUGACGUUGAGGCUCGAAAGCGUGGGGAGCAAACAGGAUUAGAUACCCUGGUA